rnacentral:misc_RNA from 1 species
GGAGUGGAAUUCUCUGAGAUCAUGGUUCCCACUGGACGUUGAUGAGAAUUUUACAUUGUAUCUAUAUUUUAUAUUUCUGUUAGCUUAGUUAGAGUUAACAAUGACGGGCUGUAUAUCUAGCAUGUAGCUGUUAUUUUCCCUCAUAUUUUUCUUAUUUGUUUUCUGUUAUAUGCAAUUAAGGAUGGUAGUUAUGUAAUAAUUGUUGGUUUUUUCUUUUUUUUAAAGAAACCACUUUACC